rnacentral:rRNA from 1 species
GAUGAACGCUGGCGGCGUGCCUAAUACAUGCAAGUCGAGCGAACGGACGAGAAGCUUGCUUUUCUGAUGUUAGCGGCGGACGGGUGAGUAACACGUGGAUAACCUACCUAUAAGACUGGGAUAACUUCGGGAAACCGGAGCUAAUGCCGGAUAAUAUUUUGAACCGCAUGGUUCAAAAGUGAAAGACGGUCUUGCUGUCACUUAUAGAUGGAUCCGCGCUGCAUUAGCUAGUUGGUAAGGUAACGGCUUACCAAGGCAACGAUGCAUAGCCGACCUGAGAGGGUGAUCGGCCACACUGGAACUGAGACACGGUCCAGACUCCUACGGGAGGCAGCAGUAGGGAAUCUUCCGCAAAGGGCGAAAGCCUGACGGAGCAACGCCGCGUGAGUGAUGAAGGUCUUCGGAUCGUAAAACUCUGUUAUUAGGGAAGAACAUAUGUGUAAGUAACUGUGCACAUCUUGACGGUACCUAAUCAGAAAGCCACGGCUAACUACGUG